CAGCCGCCACGGUAACACGUAGGUGGCAAGCGUUGUCCGGAAUCAUUGGGCGUAAAGGGCUCGCAGGCGGUUUCUUAAGUCUGAUGUGAAAGCCCCCGGCUCAACCGGGGAGGGUCAUUGGAAACUGGGAAACUUGAGUGCAGAAGAGGAGAGUGGAAUUCCACGUGUAGCGGUGAAAUGCGUAGAGAUGUGGAGGAACACCAGUGGCGAAGGCGACUCUCUGGUCUGUAACUGACGCUGAGGAGCGAAAGCGUGGGGAGCGAACAGGAUUAGAUACCCCUGUAGUCCCUGUCUCUUAUAC
rnacentral:rRNA from 1 species